GUGGGGAAUAUUGGGCAAUGGGCGCAAGCCUGACCCAGCAAUGCCGCGUGGGUGAAGAAGGUCUUCGGAUUGUAAAGCCCUUUCGGCGGGGACGAUGGUGACGGUACCCGCAGAAGAAGCCCCGGCUAACUUCGUGCCAGCAGCCGCGGUAAUACGAAGGGGGCUAGCGUUGCUCGGAAUUACUGGGCGUAAAGGGCGCGUAGGCGGUUUGGUCAGUCAGGCGUGAAAUUCCUGGGCUCAACCUGGGGGCUGCGCUUGAUACGGCCUGACUUGAGGACGGAAGAGGCUCGCGGAAUUCCCAGUGUAGAGGUGAAAUUCGUAGAUAUUGGGAAGAACACCGGUGGCGAAGGCGGCGAGCUGGUCCGUUACUGACGCUGAGGCGCGACAGCGUGGGGAGCAAACAGGAUUAGAAACCCGUGUAGUCC
rnacentral:rRNA from 1 species